rnacentral:rRNA from 1 species
GGGGAAUUUUCCGCAAUGGGCGAAAGCCUGACGGAGCAAUACCGCGUGAGGGAGGAAGGCUCUUGGGUCGUAAACCUCUUUUCUCAGGGAAGAACAAAAUGACGGUACCUGAGGAAUAAGCAUCGGCUAACUCUGUGCCAGCAGCCGCGGUAAUACAGAGGAUGCAAGCGUUAUCCGGAAUGAUUGGGCGUAAAGCGUCCGUAGGUGGUUAUGUAAGUCUGUGGUUAAAGCGUGGAGCUCAACUCCAUAAGGGCCAUGGAAACUACAAGACUAGAGUCAAGUAGGGGUAGAGGGAAUUCCCAGUGUAGCGGUGAAAUGCGUAGAGAUUGGGAAGAACACCGGUGGCGAAAGCGCUCUACUGGACUUGUACUGACACUGAGGGACGAAAGCUAGGGGAGCGAAAGGGAUUAGAUACCCCUGUAGUCCUAGCCGUAAACGAUGGAUACUAGGUGUUGCCCGUAUCGACCCGGGCAGUGCCGUAGCUAACGCGUUAAGUAUCC